AAAAAGGUAAAAUUUAGGCUGCUAACUUGAAUUUGGGUCAAUAAGUGUUCCCCUUUUUU
rnacentral:tRNA from 1 species